rnacentral:rRNA from 1 species
GACGAACGCUGGCGGCGUGCUUAACACAUGCAAGUCGAACGGAAAGGCCCUGCUUGCAGGGUACUCGAGUGGCGAACGGGUGAGUAACACGUGGGUGAUCUGCCCUGCACUUCGGGAUAAGCCUGGGAAACUGGGUCUAAUACCGGAUAGGAGCCAUUUUUAGUGUGAUGGUUGGAAAGUUUUUUCGGUGUAGGAUGAGCUCGCGGCCUAUCAGCUUGUUGGUGGGGUAAUGGCCUACCAAGGCGGCGACGGGUAGCCGGCCUGAGAGGGUGGACGGCCACAAUGGGACUGAGAUACGGCCCAGACGCCUACGGGAGGCAGCAGUGGGGAAUAUUGCACAAUGGGCGCAAGCCUGAUGCAGCGACGCCGCGUGGGGGAUGACGGCCUUCGGGUUGUAAACUCCUUUCGCUAGGGACGAAGCUUUUUGUGACGGUACCUAGAUAAGAAGCACCGGCUAACUACGUG